AUUGAACGCUGGCGGCAGGCUUAACACAUGCAAGUCGAGCGGGGUGAUGGUGCUUGCACUAUCACUUAGCGGCGGACGGGUGAGUAAUGCUUAGGAAUCUGCCUAUUAGUGGGGGACAACAUCUCGAAAGGGAUGCUAAUACCGCAUACGUCCUACGGGAGAAAGCAGGGGAUCACUUGUGACCUUGUGCUAAUAGAUGAGCCUAAGUCGGAUUAGCUAGUUGGUGGGGUAAAGGCCUACCAAGGCGACGAUCUGUAGCGGGUCUGAGAGGAUGAUCCGCCACACUGGGACUGAGACACGGCCCAGACUCCUACGGGAGGCAGCAGUGGGGAAUAUUGGACAAUGGGGGGAACCCUGAUCCAGCCAUGCCGCGUGUGUGAAGAAGGCCUUAUGGUUGUAAAGCACUUUAAGCGAGGAGGAGGCUUACCUAGUUAAUACCUGGGAUAAGUGGACGUUACUCGCAGAAUAAGCACCGGCUAACUCUGUGCCAGCCGCCGCCGUAA
rnacentral:rRNA from 1 species